UUGAACGCUGGCGGCAGGCCUAACACAUGCAAGUCGAGCGGAUGAAGGGAGCUUGCUCCUGGAUUCAGCGGCGGACGGGUGAGUAAUGCCUAGGAAUCUGCCUGGUAGUGGGGGAUAACGUCCGGAAACGGGCGCUAAUACCGCAUACGUCCUGAGGGAGAAAGUGGGGGAUCUUCGGACCUCACGCUAUCAGAUGAGCCUAGGUCGGAUUAGCUAGUUGGUGGGGUAAAGGCCUACCAAGGCGACGAUCCGUAACUGGUCUGAGAGGAUGAUCAGUCACACUGGAACUGAGACACGGUCCAGACUCCUACGGGAGGCAGCAGUGGGGAAUAUUGGACAAUGGGCGAAAGCCUGAUCCAGCCAUGCCGCGUGUGUGAAGAAGGUCUUCGGAUUGUAAAGCACUUUAAGUUGGGAAGAAGGGCAGUAAGUUAAUACCUUGCUGUUUUGACGUUACCAACAGAAUAAGCACCGGCUAACUUCGUG
rnacentral:rRNA from 1 species